GACGGUUUGGCCGAGUGGCGUUGGAUUUAGGCUCCAAUCCCAAAGGGCGUGGGUUCAAAUCCCACAGCCGUCA
rnacentral:tRNA from 1 species